rnacentral:lncRNA from 1 species
GGUUGGGCAGCAGUGAAACUGAUUUCCUGUAGAACAACAUGACCAAAGAAGAGGAGGAGCUCUUCUCCUAACCCUCCUAUAGCCUUUGGGAUAUACACAGGAGAGGUACUGACAAGGCCCCAACUGUUACGGGCUGGGCAACUUCUAUGAGAUACUGGAUACCAUCAGGCAGACUCUGCAUGCUGAUUAGAUCCAGACCGGCGAAAGCAAAGGCCAGGCAUGGAGCCUUGGCCAGCUUGCACAGACACAGGACUAAGGUAUUUGGAAAGAAUCCCUACCCAAGGUGCACUAUGGAUGCUUCAGGGAGUGGUAUGAGAGGCUCAAUAGGGGACAAACCCCUCCCCUGUCCCCCCAGACAGUACUGAUCCCAAUACAUAGGGCCUUACCAAAUUCACAGCCAUGAAAAACGUGUCACAGACUGUGAAAUCUGGUCUCCCCCUGUAAAAUCUGGUCUUUUGUGUAUUUGUACCCUAUACUAUACAGAUUUCACAGGCGGAGACCAGCGUUUUUCAAAUUGGGGAUCCUGACCCAAAAGGGAGUUGCAGGGGAGUCACCAGGUUAUUUUAGGGGGCUCGCAGUAUUGCCACCCUUACUUCUGCACUGACUUCAGAGCUGGGAGGCCAGAGAGUGGCAGCUGUUGGCUGGGCACCCAGCUCUGAAGGCAGUAUCCCACCACCAGCAGCAGCACAGAAGUCAGGGUAGCAAUACCAUACCAUGCCACCCUUGCUUCUGUGCUGCUGCUGAAGGUGGCUCUGCCAUCCAGGGCCAGCUUUAAGCCGAUUCAUCCGAUUCCCCUGAAUCGGGCCCCGCACCUAAGAGGGCCCUGCUCCGGGGGUCUUCGGUGGCAUUUCGGCAGUGGGGGGUCCACUCUGGGGGUCUUCGGUGGCAUUUCGGCAGUAGGGGGUCCUUCGGUGCCACUGAACCCCCGGACUGCCGCCGGGUAUUGGAAUUGGGCCCCGUGGAUCAUAAAGCCGGCCCUGCUGCCAUCAGAGCUGGGCUCCUAGCCAGCAGCCACUGCUCUCCAGCUCUGAAGGUAGGGUGACCAGAUGUCCCGAUUUUAUAGGGACAGUCCCGAUAUUUGGGGCUUUUUCUUAUAUAGGCUCCUAUUAUCCCCCACCUCCAUCCCAAUUUUUCACACUUGCUAUCUGAUCACCCUAUCUGAAGGUAGCACUGCUGCCAGCAACAGUGCAGAAGGGUAGGAGUACUGCAACCCCCCCUACAAUAACCUUGUGACCUCCCUCCCCCCCCACCACAACUCCUUUUUGGUUCAGGACCCCUACAAUUACAACACUGUGAAAUUUCAGAUUUAAAUAGCUGAAAUCAUAGGAUUUAAAAAAUCAUAAAUUUCAUGAGCAUGAAAUUGAC